GACGAACGCUGGCGGCGUGCUUAACACAUGCAAGUCGAACGGAAAGGCCCUGCUUUUGUGGGGUGCUCGAGUGGCGAACGGGUGAGUAACACGUGAGUAACCUGCCCUUGACUUUGGGAUAACUUCAGGAAACUGGGGCUAAUACCGGAUAGGAGCUCCUGCUGCAUGGUGGGGGUUGGAAAGUUUCGGCGGUUGGGGAUGGACUCGCGGCUUAUCAGCUUGUUGGUGGGGUAGUGGCUUACCAAGGCUUUGACGGGUAGCCGGCCUGAGAGGGUGACCGGCCACAAUGGGACUGAGAGACGGCCCAGACUCCUACGGGAGGCAGCAGUGGGGAAUAUUGCACAGUGGGCGGAAGCCUGAUGCAGCAACGCCGCGUGCGGGAUGACGGCCUGCGGGUUGUAAACCGCUUCCGCCUGUGACGAAGCGUGAGUGACGGUAAUGGGUAAAGAAGCACCGGCUAACUACGUG
rnacentral:rRNA from 1 species